rnacentral:rRNA from 16 species
GGGUUGUGAGGUUAAGCGACUAAGCGUACACGGUGGAUGCCCUGGCAGUCAGAGGCGAUGAAGGGCGUGCUAAUCUGCGAUAAGCGCCGGUAAGGUGAUAUGAACCGUUAUAACCGGCGAUACCCGAAUGGGGAAACCCAGUGUGAUUCGUCACACUAUCAUUAACUGAAUCCAUAGGUUAAUGAGGCGAACCGGGGGAACUGAAACAUCUAAGUACCCCGAGGAAAAGAAAUCAACCGAGAUUCCCCCAGUAGCGGCGAGCGAACGGGGAGGAGCCCAGAGCCUGAAUCAGCAUGUGUGUUAGUGGAAGCGUCUGGAAAGGCGCGCGAUACAGGGUGACAGCCCCGUACACAAAAGCGCAUGUGCUGUGAGCUCGAUGAGUAGGGCGGGACACGUGGUAUCCUGUCUGAAUAUGGGGGGACCAUCCUCCAAGGCUAAAUACUCCUGACUGACCGAUAGUGAACCAGUACCGUGAGGGAAAGGCGAAAAGAACCCCGGCGAGGGGAGUGAAAAAGAACCUGAAACCGUGU